rnacentral:rRNA from 1 species
UAACCGUAGAGUUUGAUCAUGGCCCCGAAUACCUAAUUGGGGGAGCCAUGGAUCAUCAACGCGACUAUCCAUCCCUGCUCUGAGUCGAUGAUCAGUCACACUCCAACUGACACACGGUCCACACUCCUACGGGAGGCCCUUUGGGGAAUAUUGGACACUGGGCGAAAGCCUGAUCCAGCCAUGCCGCGUGUGUGAAGAAGGUCUUCGGAUUGUAAAGCACUUUACGUUGGGAGGAAGGGUUGUAGAUUAAUACUCUGCAAUUUUGACGUUACCGACACAAUAAGCACCGGCUAACUCUGUGCCAGCAGCCGCGGUAAUACAGAGGGUGCAAGCGUUAAUCGGAAUUACUGGGCGUAAAGCACGCGUAGGUGGUUUGUUAAGUUGGAUGUCAAAUCUCCGGGCUCAACCUGGGAACUGCAUUCAAAACUGAUUGACUAGAGUAUGGUAGAGGGUGGUGGAAUUUCCUGUGUAGCGGUGACAUGCGUUUAUAUAUGAAGGAACAUCUCUGGCCAAGGCGACCACCCUGGACUGAUACUGACACUGACGUGCGAAAGCGUGGGGGAGCAAACAGGAUUAGAUACCCU